rnacentral:rRNA from 1 species
GAUGAACGCUGGCGGCGUGCCUAAUACAUGCAAGUCGAGCGAACGGACGAGAAUCUUGCUUCUCUGAUGUUAGCGGCGGACGUGUGAGUAACACGUGUAUAACCUACCUAUAAGACUGGUAUAACUUCGGGAAACCGUAGCUAAUACCGUAUAAUAUUUUGAACCGCAUGGUUCAAAAGUGAAAGACGGUCUUGCUGUCACGUAUAGAUGGAUCCGGGCUGCAUUAGCUAGUUGGUAAGGUAACGGCCUACCAAGGCAACGAUGCAUAGCCGACCGGAGAGGGGGAUAGGCCACAUGGGAACUGAGCCACGGACAAGACGACUAAGGGAGGCAGCAGUAGGGAAUGUGACGCAAUGGGCGAAAGCCUGACGGAGCAAGGCCGAGUGAGUGAUGAAGGUCUUCGGAGCGUAAAAAUCUGUUAUGAGGGAAGAACAGAUGUGUAAGGAACUGUGCAGAGCUUGACGGUAACGAAUCAGAAAGCAACGGCUAACUACGUG